rnacentral:rRNA from 1 species
AUUGAACGCUGGCGGCAUGCCUUACACAUGCAAGUCGAACGGUAACAGCACUUCGGUGGCUGACGAGUGGCGGACGGGUGAGUAAUACAUCGGAACGUGCCCGAUCGUGGGGGAUAACUACUCGAAAGAGUGGCUAAUACCGCAUACGAUCUACGGAUGAAAGCGGGGGAUCGCAAGACCUCGCGCGGACGGAGCGGCCGAUGGCAGAUUAGGUAGUUGGUGGGAUAAAAGCUUACCAAGCCGACGAUCUGUAGCUGGUCUGAGAGGACGACCAGCCACACUGGGACUGAGACACGGCCCAGACUCCUACGGGAGGCAGCAGUGGGGAAUUUUGGACAAUGGGGGAAACCCUGAUCCAGCCAUGCCGCGUGCAGGAUGAAGGCCUUCGGUUGUAACUGCUUUGUACGGACGAAAGACUCUUCUAAUACAGAGGUCAUGACGUACCGUAAGAAUAAGCACCGGCUAACUACGUGCCAGCAGCCGCGGUAAACGU